GCGUUGUUGGUUUAGUGGUAUAAUGGCCGCCUGCCACGCGGGCAACCCUUGUUCGUUUCCUGGAUAAUGCA